ensembl:lncRNA
CGACAUAACUUUUUUUAUAUAUAUAAAAAAUAUUUGAUUUCUGAUUUAAAUAGCACAUGUAGCCUACUCUUCUGAAACAUUUAGGUGUCAAAAUAAUGUAAUAUAUAAAUUUUUAAAAACAUAGGCCUAAUUAAAGUACCAUAAUGUGACCAUAUAAAAUCUUACAUGGAUUUAUUUAUUUAUUUGAGUGGUAUUUUUCACUGGAGCAUUGACAGAAACAGCAGUUUAUAUCUGUAUUAGAUCUAUAAAUUAAAUAUAGAUAAUUAAAUAAAGUUAAAUACAUUAAAAUAUAUUAAAGUUGAAUAUAUUUAAAUAGAUAAUUAGAUUGAAAUAAUAUUAUAUCCUAUUAAAUAAUUAAAUAAUAAAUAUUUAACACAUAGAUUUAAAUUAAAUGAAAUAGUGUAUUUAAACGUGCGCUGGCCACGAGGGGCGUUAACGUGAUGUUACGUGAGUGACGUAAACGUGAUGGCAAAAAAAAAAAAAACGUAAACGUAACGUGAUGGCGCAAAUAACCACGAAGACGGAAGAAUAAUUCUGUUUAUUACAAAAGACUGAAGAUAUAACUGCCGCCAUCCUUUAAUUUAUUUAUUUCUACGUUGAGGACACUUUAUAAACCUACAGAGAUACCGGACCAACGAACGACCUUCACAACGGGACGGAGCUAACGUAAUUAACGUUAACGGUUACUUGGAAAUUCAAACAGUAACGGUCAUCUGACAACUGCGCUGAGCCAAAGGACGGGAACAGCAACAAGAGUUUAACUUCUGAUUCGUAAUCUACACACUCUACUGGGCAGUUCAUGAAGACAGAUAGAUGUUGUGCCGACCAGGACAGUUCCUCCUACCACACCAGACUUUGCUGUAUAUGGAUGCCUGACCACUAGCACUGGACAUUUACAACAUUUUGGCGCCAGGGAUCCCUUGCAGAGAAGAUUUUUCAAAGACACCCUCAGAAUUACAACAGAUUUUAAGGCUUAAAAUUAUUGUGGGUGGGAGUAUAAUGAACAUAAUAUGAUUGUUUUAUUUUAUUAUUAUUAUUUAUUUUUAAAUAGUUCCCAUUUUUUAAUAAUACAUUUGUUUAAUAAUACAGCACAAUAUAGGGCUAAGUUGCACCAGGUCAGGAAAAAACACAUAAGUUGCAUCCGUGUAUAAGACACAUUUUACUAUUAAUUUCAGAAAUAAUUUAAAUACUGAUAAAUAAAACAA